AUUGAACGCUGGCGGCAGGCCUAACACAUGCAAGUCGAACGAGUGGCGGACGGGUGAGUAAUGUCUGGGAAACUGCCUGAUGGAGGGGGAUAACUACUGGAAACGGUAGCUAAUACCGCAUACCAUCGGAUGUGCCCAGAUGGGAUUAGCUAGUAGGUGGGGUAAAGGCUCACCUAGGCGACGAUCCCUAGCUGGUCUGAGAGGAUUACCAGCCACCCGGGGACUGAUACACGGUCCAGACUCCUACGGGAGGCAGCAGUGGGGAAUAUUGCACAAUGGGCGCAAGCCUGAUGCAGCCAUGCCGCGUGUAUGAAGAAGGCCUUCGGGUUGUAAAGUACUUUCGGCGGUGAGGCGUUACCCGCAGAAGAAGCACCGGCUAACUCCGUGCCAGCAGCCGCGGUAAUAC
rnacentral:rRNA from 1 species